GACGAACGCUGGCGGCGUGCUUAACACAUGCAAGUCGAACGGUAAGGCCCUGCUUUUGUGGGGUGCUCGAGUGGCGAAAGGGUGAGUAACACGUGAGUAACCUGCCCUUGACUUUGGGAUAACUUCAGGAAACUGGGGCUAAUAUCGGAUAGGAGAUCCGGCUGCACGGUGGGGGUUGGAAAGUUUCGGCGGUGGUGGAUGGAAUCGCGGCUUAGCAGCUUGUUGGUGGGGUAGUGUCUUACCCAGGCUUUGACGGGUAGCCGGCCUGAGAGGGUGACCCGCCACAUUGGGACUGAGAUACCGCCCAGACUCCUACGGGAGGCAGCAGUGGGAAAUUUUGCACAAUAGGCGGAAGCCGGAUGCAGCAACGCCGCGUGCGGGAUGACGGCCUUCGGGUUAUAAACCGCUUUCGCCUGUGACGAAGCGUGAGUGACGGUAAUGGGUAAAGAAGCACCGGCUAACUACGUG
rnacentral:rRNA from 1 species